rnacentral:sRNA from 1 species
AGAAGUCAGUAUGGUGCGGAAUUUAAUUCAGAAAGAUAGAACCUUUGCUGUUCUUGCAUACAGCAAUAUACAGGAAAGGGAAGCACAGUUUGGAACAACAGCAGAGAUAUAUGCCUAUCGAGAAGAACAGGAUUUUGGAAUUGAGAUAGUGAAAGUGAAAGCAAUUGGAAGACAAAGGUUCAAAGUCCUUGAGCUAAGAACACAGUCAGAUGGAAUCCAGCAAGCUAAAGUGCAAAUUCUUCCCGAAUGUGUGUUGCCUUCAACCAUGUCUGCAGUUCAAUUAGAAUCCCUCAAUAAGUGCCAGAUAUUUCCUUCAAAACCUGUCUCAAGGGAAGACCAAUGUUCAUAUAAAUGGUGGCAGAAAUACCAGAAGAGAAAGUUUCAUUGUGCAAAUCUAACUUCAUGGCCUCGCUGGCUAUAUUCCUUAUAUGAUGCUGUAAGUAACUUAAAUUUACUUUAUAUAUGGUAGGCCAUGUCAUAAUUAAGGGUCAUUAAAAAACAAAGGUUUAGUUUUUCCAGUUUCUAGUGCCUUAUAACUUAAGAACAAGAUAUAAGAGUGGUG